AAGAAGAAAAUGAACAAGAUGAAGAAAAUGAGGGGGAAAAACCGGAUGGAACAGUGAGCUCACGAAGGACAUCUCUCACUUUCGACUUUUCCGUACUUCCCUUCUUUUUCGAUUCAUCAUCUUGAUUCUUUUUCCCCUUCUUCCUUAAUGCUUCUUCUAU
rnacentral:ribozyme from 12 species